GACGGAGGAUGCAAGCGUUAUCCGGAAUGAUUGGGCGUAAAGCGUCCGCAGGUGGCAGUUCAAGUCUGCUGUCAAAGACCGGGGCUUAACUUCGGAAAGGCAGUGGAAACUGAACAGCUAGAGUAUGGUAGGGGCAGAGGGAAUUCCUGGUGUAGCGGUGAAAUGCGUAGAGAUCAGGAAGAACACCGGUGGCGAAGGCGCUCUGCUAGGCCGUAACUGACACUGAGGGACGAAAGCUAGGGGAGCGAAUGGG
rnacentral:rRNA from 1 species